rnacentral:rRNA from 1 species
AGCGAACGCUGGCGGCAGGCUUAACACAUGCAAGUCGAGCGGGCCUUUCGGGGUCAGCGGCGGACGGGUGGGUAACGCGUGGGAACGUGCCCUUUGGUUCGGUGUAACUCAGGGAAACUUGAGCUAAUACCGGAUACGCCCUUUUGGGGUAAGGCUUCCUGCGGGAGGCUCGGCCCGGGUCUGCUUAGCCGGUUGGUGAGGUAACGGCUCGCCAAGGGCGGGAUCAGUAGCUGGUGGGGGAGGAGGCUCCGGCCCGCUGGGACUGAGGCACGGCCCAGCCCCGUACGGGAGGGAGCAGUGGAGAGUAUUAGGCGAGGGGCGCAGGCCUGAUCCAGCCACGCGGCGGGAGUGGUGAAGGCGUUAGGGUUGUAAAGCUCUUUUAUCCGAGACGAUAAUGACGGUACCGGGGGAAUAAGCCCCGGCUAACUUCGUG